ACGGAAGGCAGCAGUGGGGGAUAUUGCACAAUGGGGGAAACCCUGAUGCAGCGACGCCGCGUGAGUGAAGAAGUAUUUCGGUAUGUAAAGCUCUAUCAGCAAGGAAGAAAAUGACGGUACUUGACUAAGAAGCUCCGGCUAAAUACGUGCCAGCAGCCGCGGUAAUACGUAUGGAGCAAGCGUUAUCCGGAUUUACUGGGUGUAAAGGGAGCGUAGACGGCAAAGCAAGUCUGAAGUGAAAUCCCGGGGCUCAACCCCGGAACUGCUUUGGAAACUGUUUAGCUAGAGUGCAGGAGAGGUAAGCGGAAUUCCUAGUGUAGCGGUGAAAUGCGUAGAUAUUAGGAGGAACACCAGUGGCGAAGGCGGCUUACUGGACUGUAACUGACGUUGAGGCUCGAAAGCGUGGGGAGCAAACAGGAUUAGAUACCCUGGUA
rnacentral:rRNA from 1 species